GUUCCACCUGUUCAUGGCGAGGGUUCUGCCUGUUUGCGGUGCGGGUUCCGCCUGUUCAUGGCGAGGGUUCCACCUGUUCAUGGCAAGGGUUCCGCCUGUUGAGGGUGAGGGUUCCGCCUGUUUGCGGCAAGGGUUCCACCUGUUCAUGGCGAGGGUUCUGCCUGUUUGCAGCAAGGGUUCCACCUGUUCAUGGCGAGGGUUCCACCUGUUCGCGGUGAAGGUUCCGCCUGUUUGUGGCAAGGGUUCCGCCUGUUCACAGCAAGGGUUCCGCCUGUUCAUGGCAAGGGUUCUGCCUGUUUGCGGUGCGGGUUCCGCCUGUUCAUGGCGAGGGUUCCACCUGUUCAUGGCGAGGGUUCCGCCUGUUCAUGGCGAGGGUUCCGCCUGUUGAGGGUGAGCGCGGUGCAGGAGCUGCGCUGCUCCAAACCCUCCAACAGAAUCCCCCCCGUCCCCCAAUCCCAGACCCAUAGGGGGCGGAAGGGACCUCUGGGUCCCCCCCGAGUCACCCCCAUCCCACAGCAGGACCCCACAGCGCUGUGCCCGCGGUCACAUGCAGGUGGGUGUCAGCAUCUCCGUGGGGGGGAGACCCCACCGCUGCUCUGGGUGGCGUGGUCUGUUGGGAACCUGUUGGGAACCCAUUGGGAACCCACUGGGGAACCCAUUGGGAGCCCAUUGGGGACUCAUUGGGGAACCCGUUGGGAACCCAUUGGGGAAGCCAUUGGAGAACCCAUUGGGAACUCAUUGGGAACUCAUUGA
rnacentral:lncRNA from 1 species